UAUAUUUUAGUAUAUGAUGUACGGAAAUUUUUGAUAUUUCAGGGAGCAGUUUAAUUCUGCUAAAUAUAA
rnacentral:tRNA from 1 species